UACGAGGGGGGCAAGCGUUGUUCGGAAUUACUGGGCGUAAAGCGCACGUAGGUGGCUUGAUAAGUUGGGUGUGAAAUCCCCGGGCUUAACCUGGGAAUUGCAUUCAAGACUGUCUUGCUAGAGUGUGGAAGAGGGAAGCGGAAUUCCAGGUGUAGCGGUGAAAUGCGUAGAUAUCUGGAGGAACAUCAGUGGCGAAGGCGGCUUCCUGGUCCAACACUGACACUGAGGUGCGAAAGCGUGGGGAGCAAACAGG
rnacentral:rRNA from 1 species